AUACGGGGGGAGCAAGCGUUGUCCGGAAUCAUUGGGCGUAAAGGGCACGUAGGCGGUUUCUUAAGUCGAAUGUGAAAUCUCACGGCUCAACCGUGAAACUGCGUUCGAAACUAAGUGACUUGAGUUUGGGAGAGGUGUACGGAAUUCCUGGUGUAGCGGUGGAAUGCGUAGAUAUCAGGAAGAACACCAAUGGCGAAGGCAGUACACUGGCCUGAAACUGACGCUGAGGUGCGAAAGCGUGGGGAGCAAACAGGAGUAGAUACCCCAGUAGUCC
rnacentral:rRNA from 1 species